AUGCGUAGUCUUUUUCACUUUCUAUUUUCUUCAACAGUGAACGAUGCUCAGCCUAAGCUGACUGUACUACCACCCUCCAGCGUGGAGCUGCAGCAGGGGACGGCAACACUCGUGUGUCUGGCCAAAUACGGAUUCCCCUCUGAUUGGAAGCUGAGCUGGAGGGUAGACGGCAGCAUCUUGAGCUCCGGAGUGACGGUGAGCCCCGGUAUCCUGGAGAAGGACGGCCGUUAUGGCUGGAGCAGCACUCUGUCUCUGCCCGCGGAGCAGUGGAGGAAGACGGUGCUGGUUACCUGCGAAGCCAAUCAGGGAUCCCAGAAUCCAGUCAGCACAUCUCUGAAACCAAACGAAUGCUCAUAACGUCACAAAGUUGACUUAACUGUAUUCUUGCUUAUUUUCUUCAUCUGGAAAUCUUGUCGGUUAAGGUUGGAUGCGCAAUAAAGUGGGCAUUUCCUUUCA